GAAGUCGCAGAAGCCCUCGUCGUCGAAGUAGAGCACGAGGCCGCGGGCACUGCGCGUCUUCAGCUGGAAGCUCAUCUCGCUCUCGCAGCACGCGUUCCACUUGGGGAAGCGCGUCCACUGGCCCUCGGCGCCCGGGAACUCCAGCCCGCUGCCCAGCUCUGCCCAGCAGCCCAGCAGCAGCAGCGACAGGCAGAGGAGACAGCAGCCCCCGCGCUGGACCAGCGCCGUCCCCAUGCUCGGGGCUGGGCAGCCCCUUCCUCUCUCCCAGUAGUCUCCUUCCAACUGGAAAGCGGAGACCCCAGUCCUAUGGGAUAGCUGCAGAACUUCCAGGCCAAAGGGGGGAUACACUUUGGAGGCAACGUUCUGAAAAAGAGGGCCACCGAGGCUCAAGAGCGAUCACUGAUCCAUUUGCAUCCGAUGAUGUUUAAGUGAGGGCAUCUGUGGCACCAACAGGUACUUCAACUAUCCCAGGACCAAAACCUUCAAAGUACCACCGGCGCGGUGCCAGCAGUAGGAGAGCAGAAUCGGAAGAAACACACUUUUCUCGGAGAGGAACACGAAGUCAACACUGAGCCAGGAUCUUUGGCUGCUUGGCAGGCCUCGAGGCCCCUCCAGAUGUUGGCUCCAAGCACAGAAGGAGAAAGGACAGAGUGAGACACCAGAAUAGCUUCAGAGGCCUACUUCUGUCAUAUCAUGGGCUUCCAGCACCACUAAAGCCAAGGCCAAAUUUCCUGUGCAUGCC
rnacentral:lncRNA from 1 species